AUUGAACGCUGGCGGCAGGCCUAACACAUGCAAGUCGAACGAGUGGCGGACGGGUGAGUAAUGUCUGGGAAACUGCCCGAUGGAGGGGGAUAACUACUGGAAACGGUAGCUAAUACCGCAUACCAUCGGAUGUGCCCAGAUGGGAUUAGCUAGCAGGUGGGGUAACGGCUCAACUAGGCGGCGACCCCUUGCUGGUCUGAGAGGAUGACCAGCAACACUGGAGCUGAAACACGGUCCAGACGCCUACGGAAGACAGCAGUGGGGAAUAUGGCACAAUGGGCGAAAGCCUGAUGCAGCCAUGCCGCGUGUAUGAAGAAGGCCUUCGGGUUGUAAAGUACUUUCAGCGAGGAGGCGUUGCUCGCAGAAGAAGCACCGGCUAACUCCGUGCCAGCGGCCGCGGUAAUAC
rnacentral:rRNA from 1 species